CAUGUCUUUUUGAUAAAAAUAUAAAGUCUAGUCUGCUCAAUGAAUAUAAAAAUUUAAAUAGCUGCAGUAUUUUGACUGUACAAAGGUAGCAUAAUAAUUAGUUUUUUAAUUGAAAGCUGGAAUGAAGGAUUGGACGAGAAAAUUACUGUCUCAAUUUUAAAAAUUGAAUUUAACUUUUAAGUUAAAAGGCUUAAAUUUUUUUAAAAGACGAGAAGACCCUAUAGAGUUUUAUAGUUAAUAUAUUUUAAUAUAUUUAGAAUUAUUAAAAUUUAAAUUUAUAUUAAUUAUUUGGUUGGGGUGAUUAAAAAAUUUAUUAAACUUUUUUAUUUUAAAAAUUAUUUAUUUAUAAAUUAAUUUUCUAUAGAUUAUUAAAUUUAAAAUAAAUUACCUUAGGGAUAACAGCGUAAUAUAUUUUUAAAGUUCUUAUUUAAAAAUUUGUUUGCGACCUCGAUGUUGGAUUAAAAUUUAUUAUUGG
rnacentral:rRNA from 1 species